UCUGGAUCAUGGCCUCUACAAUCAUCCCACGCCUUGUACUCUCCUUACUGCCUAAUCUUGGUCUCUCCCCCUUUCACCUAACCUCUUGUUAGGUUGAAGUGCUCGGACACACCAGAUCAGCCUCUUCUUGGAGAUACAACUUCUCUUACUGAGUCUUGGCUGCUUCUUCUUCUUCUAGAAUCGCCACCUUGUUGCUUGAGCUACAUGAGGAUGCUUCAGCCACUCUCCAAUCACCUCAACACUUGACGCCGCCUUGGACAUUGCUUCUUCAUCCUUCAUCAUACUUCUCAACAGGUUGCUUCCUCUUCUAGAAUAACCACCAAGCUCUCUUGGAUCAUGUAAGCUUCAACACUCCCCCUCAAGCUUGAGACUCUCACAGGAACAAGCUUGAAUGGAUUGCUUCAUGAUCCUCACACACACACCAUUGCCGCUCCUCUUCUGAUCUUGCCAUCUUCAUGGAAUGCUUGUGGAAGCUUCAGCUAUCUCUCCAAUCACUUCACACUAGAAGCCGCCUUGAUAGAAUUGCCUUCAUCUUCUCACAGCCAAGAGUACUCUGUCUUAGUUUGAGUACUCUCUUGAAUAGACUCGCCACAGCCUAAGCCCGGAUGGCUCCUUCUUCAGAUGCUUGCAAUGGACUUCUUGGAUCGCUUGGAAGCUCACUAAACUCCCCUCCUCAAGCUUGGAUUGAGUAUAGGUCCAAGCUUGCAAGUGAGCUUCAGUGACACUUCACACCAGUGGCGCAUCACCACUUCUCUCUCAACUCUCCAUUGCUCCACACAAUGGGCAAUCCUCAAGCUUGGAUUGAGUAUAGGUCCAAGCUUGCAAGUGAGAUUCAGUGACACUUCACACCAGUGGCGCAUAACCACUUCUCUCUCAACUCUCCAUUGCUCCACACAAUGGGCAAAGUCUUCCUCUUUCAACUCGGAUGGAUGGUGAACCAAGAACACCUCUUGUGAACCUGAAACAUCACUCAAACUCCAGCAAAGAUAAGACACAAGUGCAUUGGGUCAACCCUUGAUGCAUCAUCAAGUUUGAACACCAAUGUCUUUAAGCAAUGCAACAGAUUAAACUAGACAUUUUCAAGUUCUAAUCUUUGCAAGCAAACUCUCUAAGCACUAGCAUGAUCCUAACAGAUUCAAUACAAGCUACUUAGGCAAUUUUUAAAGCUUCUUUACUCAGCAUUUAGACAUGAAUCUAAUGCUUCAAUGUAAGACAGCCAUUUGACAGUAUGCACUAACCCUAAUCAGUUUUAAUUCAUGAAUGCAACAAUACAAUUCAUCACACAUUCAUUUAUAACUUAGGCUAAGCAUUACUAUCAUCACUUAACAUCAGACAAUGCAUUACUUUCAAUCUGUUUUCAGUUCAUGAGCUUCAAACAAUAUCAUUUCACAUUUAGAAAACUCAUUACUUAACAGGAGCAAGCAUUUUACUCUUUAAACACUAAACAAGCCUUUAAAGCAUCCUGAGACAGAUUCAACUAAUUAUAUUUAGCAAUCACACAUUAUCCUCAGGGUUUUCAAUCAAUACACAUCACAAUAACCAGGCACAGUCACACCACAAGCUCAAUAUCAAGAAGGUUUUAAAGAAUCGCUUACACAAGGAACCAGGUUGGUUCCUUAAGCCUCCAAAGGCAAUCUGGCCAUGAUAUGGUUGGAUUCAAGAGUCUAGGUCGUCACCCAACUCCUUCUCCUUCAGUCCAUGGCCUCCUUCUUGUUUCUCACACCCAAAGACCCCUCCUUUCUUCAUACUUCAAACCGGCUUCUCUUAGCUUCAUCUUUCUUGUAUCCGGAUGUGAUAAGCUCUUGGACAAGGAGCUUUGGCUUGAGGUUCAUGACGCCUCUCCAUCCUCCUCUGCUUCCAAAGAGACACUGUCCAUCAGGUAAAGACAGGCACGGUUGAGAGAUAAGGAGAACACUCCACGCUUCAAGCUUCUUUCUUCUUCAAGAACUGAACUUGGCUGGUAAUGUCUUCAAGGGUUUGGUUUGAGCUGAGAUGAGAGCUGUGGAUUUGCGGAAGCUCAGCUCAGGUUCUGAUGAACCUGGCUCUGAUACCAUAUGAGAUUUGAGAGCUCUGGCUGUGUAUGUGUAAGAAAAGCCAUUAAAGGCAAAGAUAAGGUCUUGAACUAGUUGAAUAAGAGGUCUGAUGAAACUAGUAUGAACUUGAAUCAGAAACAAAGAGACUUUGAGAGAUUAAGAGAUUAGAGACUAAGAAAGGGGUAGAUUAAGGGAAUCUGAUCAAGAACACACUUUUAUAAUUAUGAAGGAGAUGGGAAAACCCCCAUACUCUCUUAAGAGAUUACAAAACGUCCAAGACACAUCCUUAUAUAGGCUUUACAUCAUUGCAACUCAUAAACCUAUAUCUGAUGGCUAUAAUUAACUUAAGGGAAUGGAUGGUGUAGAUGAGAUGGUCUUCUUUGUAAUAUCUGAUCACUUUAAUUCAAACAAGGCAAGCUGGCGCCUGAUCUCUGAUUGGCUCUCCUUAGGCUCCUCUUCAUCUUCCCAAGUUACUGUCCAGAUUCAUAGUCAAGGCUGCUCUUCCUUUCCAGCAACAGCCAGCCUGUUUCUUUACUAAAGCAGCCAAUCACACUCCUAAGGGAUCUUCUUGAUACUCCUUUGAUGCCUUAGGAUCAGAACCUUAUCCCUUCGUCCAGCACACUCUAAUGCUGCCCUAUUCUUGCACAGACUUAGUACAAGCUUCCCGAGAUGUCAGGCUGCGCCCUAUUUUCGCACCAACUUCAUAUCUUCUUAAAUGGUCAAGUUAUGCACUUUUAGGAUCGACCUGGUACGUACGGAUCCGUACGGUCCGUACACGUCCGUACCAAAUCCGUACUACCUCACCCUAACAUUGCACACUCACCCAUUUGCUCCUCAACACUCUUCUAAGUCUCUCCUAGACUUUUCCCUUGCUUAGAACAUCCCUCAUAUCACUUCUGAACACCUUUAGACUCCUCAUCACUCUUGAUAGGCAAUCUCUAAAGCUCUUGCCCUAUCUUUGUACAAGAUCCAUCUCAACUCA
rnacentral:lncRNA from 1 species